ensembl:lncRNA
CUGUGUGGCAAAUUCACUCAGUUAGUUUUAAGUUUGAGAGCAACACACACUGAGGUUUUCCUGUUAGAAAUCCUUUAAACAUCACAAUGUCUAAAGGGUCGGAAACGGGGAAGAUGAUUACGCGUUCUAUGGUCCCAAGAAGAGCUCGAAUCUGUAGAUCGCAAUGCAAGCUUAUCGGACCAAAGUCCAUCGUUAGAAAAGCAGAUGCCGAAGAGGAGGAUGAGCAGAAACGCCAAUCUGACAACAAAGACACUCAUCAAAGUGUCCUGGCUUUCAAAAGCUAAAAGUGAAAGAGCCACAGGCGUGCAAACAAGUCAGUGUCCAACUCAGCAGUCACUGUUUUGCAGGAACCGGAACAAAAUAAUUCUCUUCCUUCGGCAUCAUGGGAAGAGCAGCAGUUUCUUCUGGGAAUAUAAGUAAAGGUUCUUCUGGAGCUUUGUCCUCUGAAGCCCCACGGGAAUAACAGGGAUUGAUGCUGCUGAAAGUCCUUUGGAGUCCUCUGGAGAUGCAUCCUCCACAGAAACAGCAGUUUCUUCUGUCGCAUUGUCCUCUGGAAUGAUUACGACUAGUGAUUCUGGAGCUGUAUUCUCCACAAAAUGUUCACUCUCAAAAGCAACAGCUGGGGCGAUGUUGUCCGUAGCUUCCUCUGGAGAUGACUCCACGAAGGCAGUUUCUUCAGACACAGUUUCAUCCUCUGAAGAUUCAUGGUGGGCUCCAGCCGAAGGCUCCUGGGAAGCUAAUUCACCUGCUUCAAGGAAAUCAUCAUCAGAGACGUGAUCUUCACUGGAAAUUGGUUCUGGUUCUUUGGCAAUAAACAUGUUUUCCUCAUCAGGAGACGGCGCUGCUUGACCCGGAACAGCUGUAAGGACUUUCUCAUCGUCUGCUUCUUUUUCCUCCAUAAGGUUACUGAGGUCUUCAGUUACUGGUGCAGGUUCCUCUGGUCUUGCUCCACGUACUUGAACAACUUUGGCAACUGCAAUGGAGGUUAGACCCAAUGAAGUUAACUUUUGUUAACUUAAAUAGAUAAAGUUUGGACACUUGCUGUAUUCCAAAAAGGCCUCUACCUGUUAUCCAUAAAGUCAACUCUGAACAAUGAUUGUUUCACUUCAUCUGCAGUGACCUGAAACAAACGCGGUGUUUUUGAACAUCCAAAAAUAGGGCUUUUACUUUGAAGAAAUCUCCAAAUCUGUACAGUAAAAAUACUUGAUAUUUAUCAUCAUAGUAGUCAGAGAGGUCCUUAACACAGGUACAUUGGUCUUUGCCCGGAACUAUUGAGAAAUUAAUUUUCAUUGCAGUCCAAACAUGGAGAAACCUCUUUUAUGCAAUUAUAGGGUUUUUACUUUGGUGAAAUAUCCAAAUCUGUACAGUAAAAUGAUUUCAUAUUCAGCAUGCUAGUAGUCAGAGAGGUCCUUAACAUGAGUACACUGGUCCUUGCCAGGAAUUAUUGAGAAUUAUGUUUUUAUUGCAUUUCAAAUAUGGAGAUAUGGCCUUUUUGAACGUGCAAUUAUAGGGCUUGAAGAAAUCUCCAACUCUGUACAAUAAAAAUUAUUUCACUUUUCUCACAAUGAGUGACAUGACUGGAUAAGGAAGAUACACAACGUGUCUCAAAAGUAAGAAUUUCAGUGAGUCUUAAAGACCUUUGGUAUUACAAAGACCGCCUUAAUGAUUGAGGCACGGGCCCCUCGCUCAGCCUCUGUCCAUCAGCGCAACGCACUGCUUUGGCUGCAUUCCUAAAAGUUUUGAGAAGUUGAGAAGUCUCAGAUCACUGAUUUACUUAAGCUGCACUGACAUCAGGUAAUCUAAACCCUUGAAGAGUUUGUGGUAAAGUGUGUGUCUGUGUGCGCGUGUCGGGCUAUUUCUACUUGUUACCUGCUUGUGAAGCUCUCUGAGACAAACUCCUGAUUUUGGGUUCUACGAAAUGAUUUCCUCCCAAAUAUUUCUUCUGAUCAAUUAUUUUUAAACAACGCUGGUGUAUUUUAAUGCUUUACAGGGCAAAAUGGUCUUUCUUUUAAGUCUUACAAAGCCAUUUGUAACAGCCAUAAAAUCAUGCAAAAAUAACUUUCUAUUACAAAUACAGUUUGACGGAUCGGUUGCUGUUGUGGCAAUUCACCUUGGGGAUGACUUUAUGUCUUUAAAUGUUGGGAUAUUGGAUCAUCAAGUCUGGAUCCAAGCCGAAUAUUGCAGCUCAUUGUGAAAGUCCUGUGGUGUCAUUCGAGAAUAUUUGUUAAACUCAGUGACCUCCUUCUCCUUAAUGGGGUGAGAGGGUGAACUACCUUUGUUUAGACAGCAGAUGGCGCUGUAUACGUGGGGAAAUGUUGUACAAGAGGACAGGACCUCCUGUCCCCUGGGACUCAAUCACUUACUGAUUACCACUUACCGCUACUUCUUAUUGUUCCUUCCUUUGCGUUUUUUAGUACAGCACAAAUACAUUCUGCAUGGGAAGGACAUGUGAGAAAGAGCAUAUGUGUGUGUGUGUGUGUGUGCAGGUCUGUAAGUGUUCCAGGUGUCUUAUUUCGCAGGUCAAGUGCAGACUGAAAUAGCAUAAUUGAAAUAAACGUUGAUUUUGCAGACAGUGUUCACACAAUAGCGGGUUUU